rnacentral:rRNA from 1 species
UACGUAGGCAGCAAGCGUUGUUCGGAGUUACUGGGCGUAAAGGGUGUGUAGGCGGUUCUUUAAGUUUGGUGUGAAAUCUCCCGGCUCAACCGGGAGGGUGCGCCGAAUACUGAGGGACUAGAGUGCGGGAGAGGAAAGUGGAAUUCCUGGUGUAGCGGUGAAAUGCGUAGAUAUCAGGAGGAACACCGUGGUGUAGACGGCUUUCUGGACCGUAACUGACGCUGAGACACGAAAGCGUGGGUAGCAAACAGG